UACAGAGGUCUCAAGCGUUGUUCGGAUUCAUUGGGCGUAAAGGGUGCGUAGGCGGAUUGCUAAGUCAGGGGUGAAAUCCUGGAGCUCAACUCCAGAACUGCCUUUGAUACUGGCGAUCUCGAGUCCGGGAGAGGUGAGUGGAACUGCGAGUGUAGAGGUGAAAUUCGUAGAUAUUCGCAAGAACACCAGUGGCGAAGGCGGCUCACUGGCCCGGUACUGACGCUGAGGUGCGAAAGCGUGGGGAGCAAACAGG
rnacentral:rRNA from 1 species